rnacentral:rRNA from 1 species
AUUGAACGCUGGCGGCAUGCCUUACACAUGCAAGUCGAACGGCAGCACGGGAGCAAUCCUGGUGGCGGGUGGCGAACGGGUGAGUAAAGUAUCGGAACGUGCCCAGUCGUGGGGGAUAACGUAGCGAAAGUUACGCUAAUACCGCAUACGAUCUACGAAUGAAAGCGGGGGAUCGCAAGACCUCGCGCGAUUGGAGCGGCUGAUAUCAGAUUAGGUAGUUGGUGGGGUAAAGGCUCACCAAGCCGACGAUCUGUAGCUGGUCUGAGAGGACGACCAGCCACACUGGGACUGAGACACGGCCCAGACUCCUACGGGAGGCAGCAGUGGGGAAUUUUGGACAAUGGGCGCAAGCCUGAUCCAGCCAUGCCGCGUGCAGGAUGAAGGCCUUCGGGUUGUAAACUGCUUUUGUACGGAACGAAAAGGUUUGGCCUAAUAAGCUGGACCCAUGACGGUACCGUAAGAAUAAGCACCGGCUAACUACGUGCCAGCAGCCGCCGUAA